rnacentral:rRNA from 1 species
CCUACGGGUGGCAGCAGUGGGGAAUAUUGCACAAUGGGCGAAAGCCUGAUGCAGCAACGCCGCGUGAAGGAAGAAGGGUUUCGGCUCGUAAACUUCUAUCAACAGGGACGAAAGCAAUGACGGUCCCUGACUAAUACGCCCCGUCUAAAUACGUGCCAGCAGCCGCUGUAAUACGUAGGGGGCAAGCGUUCUCCGGACUUACUGGGUGUAAAGGGUGCGUAGGCGGCCUGGUAAGCCAGAUGUGAAAGCCCUGGGCUUAACCCGAGGAUUGCAUUUGGAACUAGCAAGCUAGAGUACAGGAGAGGAAAGCGGAAUUCCUAGGGUAGCGGUGAAAUGCGUAGAUAUUAGGAAGAACACCAGUGGCGAAGGCGGCUUUCUGGACUGAAACUGACGCUGAGGCACGAAAGCGUGGGGAGCGAACAGGAUUAGAUACCCGAGUAGUC